CUUGCGACGGCGAUGGGCAGGGGUGGACAGAGGCCAUCACUGGGAGACUGGGUGGAGCACUUAUAGCCCAGUCACACUGUGGGUGGAUGCGCCCCAGCAGGUAAAAGUGAACGCGCCGGGGGAGCACCUGUCAGCGCAGAUAAACAUCACCAAGGGAAUAUGGAGUGAGAAAAGGAAAACAACUUGUUUUAUUUAUAUGAAGUUGAAAGCCUGAAAACGGGUAUUAUCUGGUUCAAGGAUACACACGUACGCGAGAUAGGCAAAGCGACGAGGAAUACCAAGUCCAGGGGAGAGGCAACCAUGCGGCAGAGUAUGCGGAAUGGCUGGGGAGGCAUUCAGGAAGGCCUCGGCGAUAUGUGUACUGUCUUAAUCUUAAGCAGGGUUGGGUUUGCAAGCGUCUGAAAUAUUAUUCUCUUAAGUGUUUGCAUAUCUGAGCGAUUUCAUAAUAGAGGCCAAGGCUCAAGGAGGGCAUGGGUGGGGGCAGGGGUUAGGGUCGUUUUAAGAGACUGUAAGCAGGCUGAGGGUCACGGAUCUGUCUGGGCCAAGUGGGUGAGUUGCAUAUGAUGUUCCAGCCUCAGGAGCAGCAUGUGCGAAGGCCCUGAGGUGGGAGCAGAGAGAAGGCUGUUGGGAAUAUGUACAGGAAAGGUGGUGGUAGGCUGGCUAAAGAAGGAGGGACAAUGGAGAGAGGUGGUAGAAUGAGAUGCUCGAGAGGCCGAAGCAAGAGGCGUGGUGACAGCCCUGCAUUGUGAGGCAAGGAGAAGUCCAAGGUGACUCCGGUCCAUUUCUUGGUGGACUGGGGAUAGGGGCAUUCCCUGAGGCACGAAGCACCUUCCCAUUUUUGCUUCUUGGACCAGCAAGAACAUGUGGCUUUGCUUCCACCAGUCGAUGAGCCAGGCAGGACAGACAGUCAAUGCAAUGUCUGUGGGGCCGGGGCUGGGGUGUCUGGGCCCACCGGGGUGGCCAGUGGAAAGAAUCUCCUGGAAGCUGGGGAGCAGAAAUAAAUUUUUUUUUUCUUGAAGUCUGUUGUCGGAGGAAAGAUCGAUGUAGUGAUAAGAGAGCGUGUUCUCUGGAAUCGCUGGGGGAGACAUCUGGGUGCUUCUAGAAGCCAUCGCUAGGCAACAGCUCUCUUGAUUUGGGUUCUCUCGGAGGCAGUCCUUGAGAGACGAAACGCACGGUAGGAAGUUCAUGGCUGGGGAGAGAUCCUGGGAUAAAAUAAUCUGUUUCUCUUUGCCUAAUCUGAGGGAAUUUUUUGUUUUCGCCUUCCUAGCGUCCAUUCCUUCUUCCAACGCCGCGCCGCCAUCGGAUUUGUUCCCACGGCUUCGCUUGGAUGCUUGGGAUUGGCUGCGCAGGAGACCCAAGAUGGCCAACCGUUAUCUCCCACCCCCUGGCCCAGUAAUUGGUUGAUAUUGGAACACGUGGCCCAAUUCAGGCCAAUGAGACACGUUCCUAAGACUUUGGGUGGAACUCCUGGCAAAGAGAAGCUCUUCAGGCCCUGGGCGUGCGGCCGGGGAGGGGGAGGUCUCUGCUUGCAGGGUUUGCAGGCUUCCGUUGUGCAAACCUGUGCGUGAAGGCACCACAGAGGCAAGCAGAGGACAGAAAUGGAAAUAGAAAAGUGGAAUUCUGAUCGCCCCCCUAAGCACCCAGAUCAGUGUUCCUGAAGCCAUUACUUCUUGAAGAGCCAAUCGACUUUUUUAUGUGUGUGCUUAGGCUAAUUUGAGCCAGGCUGUCUGUCACUUGCAGAAGAAAGAGUUCUAACAUCACCAUGGCUGCUGUCAUGUCCACCAAAUCGUGACCACCAUCAGGCCACCCUGGUCUAAUGAUGAGCACCUAGUAACCCAUGUGAGAAAACUCCAGACUCACCUGUUCCCUCACCCUCCACCUCUUCUAACUGCUUCUCAGAGACACCCCGGAGGAGACUUUAAGGCAGGUGGCCCAUCUGUCCCAGGCACCCCUCCCUCGUGCGUGCCCCGCAACCCAUUCCCCCGCUUUGAUCCCUUCAGGAAAAUCUCUCCAGGUUUUCCUUACUUCUGCUUCGUUUACUUGGUAUUCUUAGUCUCGGAGCUGAUAAGCAACGAUUCCAGAAAGAGGACCACGUUUGGUGAUAAGCGCACAGGAAUACAAGGGAGGAGACUUCGUUUUAGUCCCGACUCCGCCACUAGAUUUCUGAACUUUGGGAACCUUUGAGGAUGUUGGACCUCAGUUGUAAAACCUUCUCAUUCUGAGGUCCAUAGCCCCAAAAGGUGUCCCCAGAAAUAGAAGGAGGGGAUCCCUGGUUGCUGAGAAGGUAGGAAACGAUCAGGGGUGGCUGGAGUCAGAGGCCUGAAUAUUAUCACCACCUUCUAGCUUCUCUUCAGCCCUCCUUUCUCUAACGCCUCCAUUUGUAGGCUCCCGUUGUGUGGUCACAUGACAGCUCUAGCAGCUCCAGAGACCAGGUGCCUCUGGGUUCCCAGCCUGGGGAGCGCGCUGUCUGAGCAUCUCCAGCAAAAGCCCUACACUACUCUAACUGCCCUAGCUUGGGGCACGUGACUCCCUGAACCAGGUGCUGGCCGGGACAAUG